UGCUUAAUAUAUAGCACAGUUGGUAUAGCACGAGACUCUGAAUCUCAGGGUUGUGGGUUUGAAUUCCACACUUGGCAA